ensembl:antisense Gm28884 predicted gene 28884
AAAAUCCUCCAUGCUCCUCCGAGGGCCAGCUCCAUUGGGGACAAUAUCCUUUGAGGGCAACAGAGUGGCUGACAAAGGGUACCGUGAGAAUCCCAUUCUGAGGACAGGGGACUAAAAGACUCAUAAAGGUGUUGAUUUUGAGGUACACACCCUGAAACUACUACUAUAGUACCUCUCACCUUCUCAGCUGUGCUUCUUGGUAAGGCCAGGGCAGAGAGACCACAGGCACUGAAGGUGAGCAAGUGCCUGUCUCCUCUUCCCUUUGUGAACAGUGCUCUGUGUCGGGAGUGUGGUGAUGGUGGUGGUGGUGGUGGUGGUGGGGACAUUCACUGUGAGAUAUAGCAGAAGUGAGGCCUUCUGUCCUUUGAUGUCUGCAGAGGAGACUGGAAGGUGUCACUUCAAAGGAAUGCUUGAGGGAGCAAGCCAGCAGCUCACCUUGAGGCCCCAGACCCUGCCUUUGUUCUGAGGCAGUCACCUGAGAAACAACCAAAACUUAUCUGCACGGAGUGGGGGGUGGGAGGAGGAGGUGGGAGAGAGUGGGAGGGGUGUUGUACAGCACAGUCACACACACACACACACACACACACACACACACACACACACACACACACACCCCACUCGCAUGUGGUGCAUGCACAAUAGACUGAUGUUCUUAGGCUUUGGGAAGGACUAUCUCCAGCAGCUGGAAGCCCCUGCCAUAUUUUCAACAGGCCCCCCACCCCACCCCGCAGCCGCUCUCGCCCUCGAAACAACGUUUCUUUCCCCCUGAAGGAGCAGCUGAGGCUUUGCUUUCUCUGGAGGCCACCAGGUACAAUCAGUUGCUAUAGAGUAAGGCAGGGACAGGUGCCAACACAGUGGCGCUUGGUAGGCUUGCCUGCACCUGCUGGACCAGAGGGUGAGAAACCUUUCAGAACCAAGCAGGCAAAUGGACUUCUGGCAUUCACGGAGGUUGGCAUCAGGCCAGCAUCUCUGGAGUGUUAAAGUCAAUUUAACUGCAGAGGCUAGGAUGUUUAAACCAUUUUGACAAGCACAGAUGUAGUAGGUGGUUAAUAGAGCUUAGAGCUGUUGCUAUUUCCUCCCUGGGAUGUCACUCUGGGGAACAGUCAGAUAUCAGAGGUACAGCCAGGGGCUGAUGGAGGGUCUGGGGUAUGGUGUCAGUGGCAGAAAGACAUUUCUCACUACCCUGGAGGCUGAAUGUUCACGGUCUGGCCUGGCUCUGUGUCUGGUUCCUGGUGAGAGCUCUUCCUUGCUUUUGCCUGGGUCUGUACAAGAAGUUUUCUGAUUCCUUCUGAUAGGGACAGUCAACUGUCUGGGUCAGACAGUUAGCAUUUCAUUUUACCUUAAUUGGCCCCCUAAGGUCCCAGGGUUGGGGUUUCAAUGCCUGAAUUUAAGUGGGAGCAUCCAGUCCACAAGGCUUUUACUCUGUGAACUUGAAUAGAACAUGUGUGUUUCCUCUAGUUUCUUAACUUGAAUACACCCGGCUCUGAGCUCAGGACAUUUUACAAAGACUUGCUAACCCCGUUGUCCCUAAACAUCUCUCUAGCUCCAGGAAUCCUGCAUGAAUUCUAGCAAGAGAGGCUCCUCAAGACCUACAGAGAGGGCUCAGCAGUAAAGAGCACUUGCUGCUCUUCCAGAAGACCUGGCUUCCAUUCCCAGUGACCACAUGGUGGGUCACAGCAGUCUGGAAGUCUAGUCUGAGGUGAUCUAGUGCCCUCUUCUGGCCUUUUCAGGAACUACGUGAGCAUGAUGCAAAGCACCCAGACACAUAUAACAAAUAAAAUGAAAUAAAGAAAUAAGAGAGUGCCCUUGAUAGGGGAAUGGGGGCCGCAGAUUCGGUGGCUAAGAACCAGGCCUAUGAAUGUAGACUCCUAUGUUACAUGGACACAAGACUUUGUCCUACAGUUCCCUCAUGGCUGCAAGCUGCCCCUCCCACCAGCUCUGGUGUCUCUUCCAGAGAGCUCAUACCAAAAUCAUGCUCUGGAGUCUAGCCACCUUCCCUGAACCAUUGCCAUGCCUUCCCUUCACAGAUCCUGUGGCACUUUCUCCAUCUAGGCUGGGGCUCCAAAGCCUGGCUUUCUUUCAAGGUAGGGUGAAGCCUGGAGAUGUUCAAAGCAGACGCUUCUUAGCAUCCAUUCUCGUAAUUGUGAUCCUGGGGAAGAUAAUAGAUGCAUGGUGUCAGGAUGACAUGGGGAAGCGCCAGCAUCUUCAAUCAAAAUCAACAGGCAUUUGUGCUUCCUGGGCAAAUGCCACAUGCCCACUCUUGAGUGGGACAAGAAAGACAGAGAGGGCUUACAAGUACCAGUGGUUCCUGAAAAGGAGAGAAUGGGCUAAUUAGGAACCCAUGUCUGCACACCAUCCUGGCUUUGCUUGAGGUGACUGCAAUAGUACCCUGCCACCUUCCCAUAGGCUAGUGUUUUCUAAACUUAAAAGGAGAAUUACAUCAGCAGCUUAAGCAGGAGGACACAGUGCUCUGGUACUUUAAAAGAUGAAGGAGAAGCUGCUGUGGCCGGUGGGUCUCAGUUUGCCUGCCCUGUGCUUCUUCAAAGAGCCCCUCUCACUUGCCAGCGACACUUAGCUGCGGUAGGUAUCCACAGGGGUUCUGGGGUCUGCGGUGUGAGCAAUGGGACUGUGGGGUUCUGGUCUGAAGCCGGCAGCCCCUCUUGUUGUAUAUUAUGGUCUAGUGUCCCUCUCCCCUGAAGAGAUCCAGGCUGGAGCCUCGAGGAUGACAGCAUAGAGAAGUCGUUUGUCCUUCCUCAGGGGUCAGCAAGCAAAGCUGACUUUCCCAUUGGGCUCUUUUGACUAGGAGGACCCUGGGGAUUUUGAAUAAUUUAGGGACUAUCUUCCUGUCUGAAGAACACGUAAGGACCCAAGCAAUGAAUUGUGGCAAUACGAAUAAGGAGCUGAUGUCAUCAAUUCCAUCCUCCCAGGAUGUCCUUAUCUGACCUGCCAUGGAAGCUCCUGGGGGCUCUAACUGUCGUCCUCCAGAGUCCCUCCGAGGCCCUCCCACUCCCUGAAGACUCUGCCUUUGGCUCAGCUGUGAUCAGAGUUUCUCCCUUCCAGAAGAUUCCCUCCUUCAGUCCUUCCUCCUUCACUGUUCCCUUCCCUCCGCCCUUCUGUUCUUGUCCUCCUGCACUCUGUCAACCUGUUUUUAGGAGAGGGACCCUCCUGAUGAGGGUCUUGAUUCACAGCUGUCCUUGCUCCUAGGGCUGUUUCCAUGGAAACCAGAAGCAAAGAGGUCUGCACCAGCGAGAGACUGUGCUCUUCCCGAGCUAGGCUGCAGCUGAAAUAAUCAAACUCCAGAGGACAGCAUGGGGGAGAUUUGCAGGGAUGGCGUGGGGUGGGGCUAGGGUUGGGGGAGGUGGGAAGAGUCUUCAGCAACCAGUGCAACCCGGAUGCAUGUUACAUUGUUAUUCAUUAGAGCCCUUUCCCAUAUCCUGUCUGCACUAAGUUCUCCAGCUUUAGCCUUGUUAUUUGUCCUUCCGGUGAGAAAGAAGCUGGAGAGUUAGAGCCCAGGAAACAGAACUCCAAAGACCAAAGUUAUGAGAGGCUGGGGGGAGGGGGGGUCGUCUUACACUCGCCCACACUCCCAAAGCUCAAGUCCCUCUGACCUUGUGCUUUUUAUUAUCUAUUCAAGUGGCAGAAUAGACUUGUCACAUGCCUUGUCCUCUUCUGGUCCCACAGAGAAUCAUUUACAAACCACUGUCUACUUUAUGACCCGUGAGACUCUGUCCUGGGCUGUUGUAUAUGCUCAACGCUCAUUAGGUUCCCCCUAAAAGUCACAUAUGAGUCAUCUCAAAAUUGUCUACACUCUCUCCUCCCCAACAGGAGUGGGGUGUGCCUUUUUUUGCACCCCACUGAGCUGGUGGGUGGCCACCACUUGUGACUUUCUGUGUUCUGGUUUUUCCGUGUUUGCACAUUCACAGAUCUGUAUACUUUUUCUCCGG